GGAUAGCAGAAGAAAAUCAAUAUUCAGGUCCAACAAGACAACAUCCUUCCAAAUCACAAGUAGAAUUAGUAGGGCUCAGUUGUCCUAUCUUGGAUAUUCAUAUAUCAACUCUUAACAUGUUUUCUAAAUUCAAUUCUCAUUAGAAUUCCUAGAUUUAAUAUACUAAUCGCACUUCCACUUCAGUCACUGUCUGGACUUAUAUUCUUUUAAGACCUUUUUUGUGUAAAAGAACAUAGAGUGACACCUUAAAGCAUUAUUUUACUUUCUGAUGCUCCAUCUUCUGACUCAUUUGGGAUCUUCAGUCAGCUUCCUUUUUAGCUCUUUCUUGUUUACCUUUCCCAUCGCAUUUCGAGGCAGAGAUUCCCACAGAAACAGACGAGUUGGUAUCUUGUAUGGGGCAAGCUUCUCCUUCGCCCAAUCAGAAAGUUCGUGCAAGGUUAGUGCAGGCUUUAGCUCCUCAUCUCGUCUUCUUUUAACUUCAGCCUCAGGCACAACUAUUGCACAUACCACUUCGCCAUAGUCUUUGUCAGGCAAGCCUAAAACACAGCACUCUAAUAUAGCUUGAUGCUCCAACAGAACUGCUUCAAUUUCCAACGCUGAUAAUUUGUAUCCACCAAACUUCAUAAUAUCAGCAUUUGUACGUCCUAGAAUGAUGUAAUACCCCUCUUCGUCAACAGUAACAGUAUCUCCAGUCUUGAAAUAUCCAUCAUCAGUAAAUGACUGCUUGGUUACCUCAGGUAAUUUCCAGUAUUCUUUGAACAGUGAUGGGCUCUUAAUGCAGAGCUCCCCAACUCCAGUUUGGUCAUUGCUACUCGCAUCGUCCAAAAGAAUCUUGGCCUGCACACCUGGAAAUGGCUUGCCAACAGUACCUCCUUUGCGCUUGCCGUUUAUGGGAUUAGAGAUUGCCAUCACAAACUCAGUCAUGCCAUAACGUUCCAAUAACCGGUGUCCAGUAAUGGUUUCCCACUGCUGCAUGACGGGCAGAGGAAGUGCAGAGGAGCCACUCAUCAUAAGGCGCAAGUGCCUUGCUGCUGAAGCAGAAGCUGUUUUUAGUUCUGGAUCCAUUGCUUCAUAACCUUGUAU
rnacentral:misc_RNA from 1 species